AUAUCAGUCCACAGUGUCCUAAGCCGAAGAAGGAGAAUCAGUCAGGAGGCAAGGUCUUUGCUUUAUCGGGUUCUGAGACUUCUGCAGAUGAUCGUUGAUCCGAGGUACGUGUUAUAUUAAUGGCUUUCCUCUUGUAGCUAUUAUUGACACCGGUGCUACUCAUUCCUUUAUAUCUUUGGAUUGUGCUGUUAAACUUAAGUUAG
rnacentral:lncRNA from 1 species